GCGGAGAGAAAGGCAGGCGGGGCCCGCCCGUUUGCUCACGCUGUUUGCGCGCGGCGGCGGGAUUGGCCGGCCGCAGCGGUGAGCGCUCGUGCUCGGGCGGGCGCGCUCGCGCCGGGCUCGUGCCUGCCUCCUGCGUGCGUGCGUGCGUGCGUGCGUCGGCCGCGGCGCGAGGCGGGCGCGGAGUCGGGAGGUCGCGCCGAGGCUCGAGCGGCCGUCGCCAUUUUGUCGGGUUGUCUCUGACAGACGCGGGAGCCGCCGCCGCCCCCGGAGGCUGCUGUCGAGAUGGUGAAGCUGUUCAUCGGCAACCUGCCCCGCGAGGCGACGGAGCAGGAGAUCCGCUCUCUGUUCGAGCAGUACGGGAAGGUGCUCGAGUGCGACAUCAUCAAGAACUACGGCUUCGUGCACAUCGAGGACAAGACGGCGGCCGAGGACGCCAUCCGCAACCUGCACCACUACAAGCUGCACGGCGUCAACAUCAACGUGGAGGCCAGCAAGAACAAGAGCAAGGCCUCCACCAAGCUGCACGUGGGCAACAUCAGCCCCACGUGCACCAACCUCGAGCUGCGCGCCAAGUUCGAGGAGUACGGGCCCGUGAUCGAGUGCGACAUCGUCAAGGACUACGCCUUCGUGCACAUGGAGCGCGCCGAGGACGCCGUGGAGGCCAUCCGCGGCCUGGACAACACCGAGUUCCAAGGCAAACGAAUGCACGUGCAGCUGUCCACCAGCCGGCUUCGGACCGCCCCCGGGAUGGGAGACCAGAGCGGCUGCUAUCGGUGCGGGAAAGAGGGCCACUGGUCCAAAGAGUGUCCAGUGGAUCGGACGGGCCGUGUAGCAGACUUGACCGAGCAGUAUAACGAGCAGUACGGAGCUGUUCGCGCGCCCUAUACCAUGGGCUACGGGGAGUCCGUGUAUUACAACAAUCCGUACGGAGCGCUCGACUAUUAUAAGCGUUACCGGGUGAGGUCUUAUGAGGCGGUGGCGGCAGCGGCGGCGGCCUCCGCGUACAACUAUGCAGAGCAGACCCUGUCCCAGCUCCCACAAGUCCAGAGCCCAGCCAUGACCAGUCACCUCACCUCCACCUCUCUCAACCCUUAUGAUAGACACCUGUUGCCGACCUCAGGAGCUGCCGCCGCCACCGCUGCCGUGGCUGCCGCUGCCGCCGCCGCCACCGCAGCUACCUCCUCCUAUUAUGGGCGGGACCGGAGCCCCCUGCGCCGAGCUGCAGCUGCGGUCCCUACUAUUGGAGAGGGCUACGGUUACGGGCACGAGAAUGAGCUGUCCCAGGCCUCGGCAGCCGCGCGGAAUUCUCUGUACGACGUGGCGCGGUAUGAACGGGACCAGUAUACGGACCGGGCGCGGUACUCGGCCUUUUAAAGCUCGAGGAUGGGAGCCAGGGCCUUAGCACUCGGAGCCCAGCCGUCCUCCGGACAGUAUAUAAGCCUCUUGUGUUGUGCUCUCUUUCAGCCUGAGAGCAGCCCGGGCUGUGGGAAGGACUCUGCUGGCCUUGCCCCUCCUGAGGGAACCUGGAUUCCUUCUCCCUCCCGGCUUCUCCUGGGGGGUCAGCUCCCGGCCGGGGCCCCCAGCAGUAGGACCUGCUGGCCCUUUACGGGACUGUCUGGUGUCAAAUAGCCCGUUUGCUCUCACUCUGCACCCCAUCUGGACUGUCACGCUGCAGCAGCUGGCCUUCUGAGAGUGCCGGGAUCCGGGGGGGCGGGGGUGAGGGGGCACGGGGGGCGGGCGCUUUUUUAACGACCUCUGAUCAUGGUGCCAGCAUGUGCUGGAGGCGACUCAUCCCUUCUCUCCCCCGUCCCCUUUGAAUAAAUAAACGUUUCUAAUGA